rnacentral:rRNA from 1 species
AACGACUCUCGGCAACGGAUAUCUCGGCUCUCGCAUCGAUGAAGAACGCAGCGAAAUGCGAUACUUGGUGUGAAUUGCAGGAUCCCGUGAACCAUCGAGUUUUUGAACGCAAGUUGCGCCCGAAGCCUUUUGGCCGAGGGCACGUCUGCCUGGGUG